rnacentral:rRNA from 1 species
GGCGAACUGCUCAGUAACACGUAGCUAACCUACCCUUAGGUCAGGGAUAACCUCGGGAAACUGAGGCUAACACCUGAUAGGAGUUUAUAUCUGGAAAGAUUUUACUCUGAAACUCUUUUCACAAUUUGCAUUUUCGUUAGAUAGUUUUUAUAUUAUCUCUUGAAAAAGCGAAUUGCUCAAGCCUAAGGAUGGGGCUGCGGCUGAUUAGCUUGUUGGUGGGGUAACUGCCUACCAAGGCUAUGAUCAGUACGGGCUCUUAGCGGAGUUGCCCGGAGAAGGAAUCUGAGACACUAUUCCUAGCUCUACGGAGUGCAGCAGGGGUGAAUCUUUUAC